UGGGAAUUUUGGACAAUGGGCGAAGCCUGAUCCAGCAAUGCCGCGUGUGUGAAGAAGGCCUUCGGGUUGUAAAGCACUUUUGUCCGGAAAGAAAUCCUUGGCUCUAAUACAGUCGGGGGAUGACGGUACCGGAAGAAUAAGCACCGGCUAACUACGUGCCAGCAGCCGCGGUAAUACGUAGGGUGCAAGCGUUAAUCGGAAUUACUGGGCGUAAAGCGUGCGCAGGCGGUUUGCUAAGACCGAUGUGAAAUCCCCGGGCUCAACCUGGGAACUGCAUUGGUGACUGGCAGGCUAGAGUAUGGCAGAGGGGGGUAGAAUUCCACGUGUAGCAGUGAAAUGCGUAGGAGAUGUGGAGGAAUACCCGAUGGCGAAGGCAGCCCCCUGGGCCAAUACUGACGCUCAUGCACGAAAGCGUGGGGAGCAAACAGGAUUAGAUACCCUGGUAGUCCACGCCCUAAACGAUGUCAACUAGUUGUUGGGGAUUCAUUUCCUUAGUAACGUAGCAACGCGUGAAGUUGACCGCCUGGGGAGUACGGUCGCAAGAUUAAAACUUAAAGGAAUUG
rnacentral:rRNA from 1 species